rnacentral:rRNA from 1 species
GACGAACGCUGGCGGCGUGCUUAACACAUGCAAGUCGAACGGAAAGGCCCUGCUUUUGUGGGGUGCUCGAGUGGCGAACGGGUGAGUAACACGUGAGUAACCUGCCCUUGACUUUGGGAUAACUUCAGGAAACUGGGGCUAAUACCGGAUAGGAGCUCCUGCUGCAUGGUGGGGGUUGGAAAGUUUCGGCGGUUGGGGAUGGACUCGCGGCUUAUCAGCUUGUUGGUGGGGUAGUGGCUUACCAAGGCUUUGACGGGUAGCCGGCCUGAGAGGGUGACCGGGCACAAUGGGACUGAGGUACGGCCCAGGAUGCUACGGGAGGCAGCAGGGGGGAAUAUUGCACAAUGGGGGGGAGGCAGAUGCAACAACGCCGGGUGCGGGAAGCCCGCCUUUGGGGUGUAAACCGCUUUCGCCUGUGACGAAGCGGGAGUGACGGUAAUGGGUAAAGAAGCAACGGCUAACUACGUG